rnacentral:rRNA from 1 species
AGAGUUUGAUCCUGGCUCAGAUUGAACGCUGGCGGCAGGCCUAACACAUGCAAGUCGGACGGUAGCACAGAGAGCUUGCUCUUGGGUGACGAGUGGCGGACGGGUGAGUAAUGUCUGGGGAUCUGCCCGAUAGAGGGGGAUAACCACUGGAAACGGUGGCUAAUACCGCAUAACGUCGCAAGACCAAAGAGGGGGACCUUCGGGCCUCUCACUAUCGGAUGAACCCAGAUGGGAUUAGCUAGUAGGCGGGGUAAUGGCCCACCUAGGCGACGAUCCCUAGCUGGUCUGAGAGGAUGACCAGCCACACUGGAACUGAGACACGGUCCAGACUCCUACGGGAGGCAGCAGUGGGGAAUAUUGCACAAUGGGCGCAAGCCUGAUGCAGCCAUGCCGCGUGUAUGAAGAAGGCCUUCGGGUUGUAAAGUACUUUCAGCGGGGAGGAAGGCGGUGCGGUUAAUAACCGCGCCGAUUGACGUUACCCGCAGAAGAAGCACCGGCUAACUCCGUGCCAGCAGCCGCGGUAAUACGGAGGGUGCAAGCGUUAAUCGGAAUUACUGGGCGUAAAGCGCACGCAGGCGGUCUGUUAAGUCAGAUGUGAAAUCCCCGGGCUUAACCUGGGAACUGCAUUUGAAACUGGCAGGCUUGAGUCUUGUAGAGGGGGGUAGAAUUCCAGGUGUAGCGGUGAAAUGCGUAGAGAUCUGGAGGAAUACCGGUGGCGAAGGCGGCCCCC